UGAGCAAUCUGCCCUUCACAUCGGAAUAACCAUUGGAAACGAUGGCUAAUACCGAAUAUGACUUCGGAUCGCAUGAUCUGAAGUGGAAAGCUCCGGCGGUGAAGGAUGAGCUCGCGGCCUAUCAGCUUGUUGGUGAGGUAAUAGCUCACCAAGGCGAUGGACGGGUAACCGGCCUGAGGAGGGUGACCGGCCACACGUGGGACUGAGACGACCGGCCCAGACCUCCG
rnacentral:rRNA from 1 species